UACGUAGGGGGCAAGCGUUGUCCGGAUUUAUUGGGUUUAAAGGGUGCGUAGGCGGCUUUGUAAGUCAGUGGUGAAAUAUGGCAGCUCAACUGUCAGGGUGCCAUUGAUACUGCAGAGCUUGAGUACAGAUGAGGUAGGCGGAAUUGACGGUGUAGCGGUGAAAUGCUUAGAUAUCGUCAAGAACACCUAUAGCGAAGGCAGCUUACUAGGCUGUAACUGACGCUGAGGCACGAAAGUGUGGGGAUCAAACAGG
rnacentral:rRNA from 1 species